rnacentral:rRNA from 1 species
CGUUGUUCCGCAGCGAUCGUGCUCUCCGACGGGGAUGCCGCGUAUGGACGGAUCGUUGAGACUGGGAAAGCCGAACGAAAGUUCGCCUUGAAUUUUGACUCACUGCCCAUGGAGGGUGUUAGGCCCGUCACGUCGGCUCCGAGAGGAAAGAUUCGCCAGUUUCGCUCGAUCUCGUCCGGGAGUCGGGUUGCUCGGAAAUGCAGCCCAAAGAUAGGUGGUAAACUCCAUCUAAGACUAAAUAUCCCCGUGAGACCGAUAGCGAACAAGUACCGCGAGGGAAAGUUGAAAAGGACUUUGAAGAGAGAGUUCAAUAGAACGUGAAACCGUCACGAGCCAUAAACGGACGGGG